CUCUGGGACUUUAAUUAUUUAUUCACUUUUCACUGACUCAUUGUAUUGGUUGCCGUCGUCGUCGUGUUGCCGUCCUACAUGCUUAAGCUCCCUAUUCAGACGAAACAGACGAAAAAUGCACGUGGAAAAUAUUCUCUCGGAUUACGUGCUGCUUCGAAAACAGAGUUCAUUCAACAGGCAGAUAUUUCUGUGUAACUCUAUAUAGCUCCCAUGAAUGAUGAAAUAUAUGGUUUAACAGUGCGUUGAGG